rnacentral:tRNA from 1 species
GCCCCGAUCGUUUAACGAGUAAGACGCCGGCCUUCGGAGCCGGAGAUGGCGGGUGCGAGUCCCGUCACGGGGCU